rnacentral:rRNA from 1 species
GGACGAACGCUGGUGGCGUGCCUAAUACAUGCAAGUCGAGCGAGGAACUUCGGUUCCGAGCGGCGAACGGGUGAGUAACACGUGGGCAACCUGCCCCUCAGCCUGGGAUAACAGCGGGAAACCGUUGCUAAGACCAGAUAAUCUUCUUUUUUGCAUGAGAGGGAAGUAAAAGGAAACACUGAGGGAUGAGCCCGCGAUGCAUUAGCUAGUUGGUAAGGUAAAGGCUUACCAAGGCGACGAUGCAUAGCCGACCUGAGAGGGUGACCGGCCACACUGGGACUGAGACACGGCCCAGACUCCUACGGGAGGCAGCAGUAGGGAAUUUUCCGCAAUGGGGGGAACCCUGACGGAGCAACGCCGCGUGAGUGAAGACGGCCUUCGGGUUGUAAAGCUCUGUUCUUGGGGAAGAAGAAAGUGACGGUACCCAAGGAGAAAGCCCCGGCUAACUACGUGCCAGCAGCCGCGGUAAUACGUAGGGGGCAAGCGUUGUCCGGAAUUAUUGGGCGUAAAGCGCGCGCAGGCGGUGAAGUAAGUUGUGGGUAAAAGGCAUUGGCUCAACCAAUGUAAGCCUGCAAAACUGCUUGACUUGAGUGCAGGAGAGGAGAGUGGAAUUCCCGGUGUAGCGGUGGAAUGCGUAGAGAUCGGGAGGAACACCAGUGGCGAAGGCGACUCUCUGGCCUGUAACUGACGCUGAGGCGCGAAAGCGUGGGUAGCGAACAGGAUUAGAUACCCUGGUAGUCCACGCCGUAAACGAUGAGUGCUAGGUGUUGGGGGCGUAAGUGUCCUCAGUGCCGAAGGAAACCCAAUAAGCACUCCGCCUGGGGAGUACGGCCGCAAGGCUGAAACUCAAAGGAAUUGACGGGGGCCCGCACAAGCGGUGGAGCAUGUGGUUUAAUUCGAAGCAACGCGAAGAACCUUACCAAGGCUUGACAUCCCUCUGAAAGCUCUAGAGAUAGAGUUUCUCUUCGGAGCAGAGGAGACAGGUGGUGCAUGGUUGUCGUCAGCUCGUGUCGUGAGAUGUUGGGUUCAGUCCCGCAACGAGCGCAACCCUUAUCCUUAGUUGCCAGCAUUCAGUUGGGCUCUCUAAGGAGACAGCCGGUGAAAGCCGGAGGAAGGUGGGGAUGACGUCAAAUCAUCAUGCCCCUUAUGUCUUGGGCUACACACGUGCUACAAUGGGUGGUACAAAGGGAAGCAAGACCGUGAGGUGGAGCGAAUCCCAGAAAGCCAUUCGUAGCUCGGAUUGUAGGCUGCAACUCGCCUACAUGAAGCCGGAAUCGCUAGUAAUCGCGGAUCAGCAUG